AAUCUGGCGGAGGCCUAACACAUGCAAGUCGAGCGCGCCCUUCGGGGUGAGCGGCGGACGGGUUAGUAACGCGUGGGAACGUGCCCUUUGGUACGGAAUAGCCUCUGGAAACGGAGAGUAAUACCGUAUGAGCCCUUCGGGGGAAAGAUUUAUCGCCAAAGGAUCGGCCCGCGUUAGAUUAGGUAGUUGGUGGGGUAAUGGCCUACCAAGCCUACGAUCUAUAGCUGGUUUUAGAGGAUGAUCAGCAACACUGGGACUGAGACACGGCCCAGACUCCUACGGGAGGCAGCAGUGGGGAAUCUUGGACAAUGGGGGCAACCCUGAUCCAGCCAUGCCGCGUGAGUGAUGAAGGCCUUAGGGUCGUAAAGCUCUUUCGCCUGUGAAGAUAAUGACGGUAGCAGGUAAAGAAACCCCGGCUAACUCCGUGCCAGCAGCCGCGGUAAUACGGAGGGGGUUAGCGUUGUUCGGAAUUACUGGGCGUAAAGCGCACGUAGGCGGACCAAAAAGUUGGGGGUGAAAUCCCGGGGCUCAACCCCGGAACUGCCUCCAAAACUGUUGGUCUAGAGUUCGAGAGAGGUGAGUGGAAUUCCGAGUGUAGAGGUGAAAUUCGUAGAUAUUCGGAGGAACACCAGUGGCGAAGGCGGCUCACUGGCUCGAUACUGACGCUGAGGUGCGAAAGUGUGGGGAGCAAACAGGAUUAGAUACCCGUGGUAGUCCACACCGUAACGAUGAGUGCCAGUCGUCGGGUAGCAUGCUAUUCGGUGGACACACCUAACGGAUUAGGCAUUCGGCCUGGGGAGUACGGUCGCAAGGAUUAAAACUCAAAUGAAUGACGG
rnacentral:rRNA from 1 species